GUGCUAUAUGAAAGGAGAAAAGGUUAGCACUCCCCUUGACAAGGGCCGAAUGGCCUCUGGGCCUAAACACAUAUAUACUCUGUUUUAGCAUAGAGUAAAACAUUGU
rnacentral:ncRNA from 1 species